rnacentral:rRNA from 1 species
GUGAACCAGCGGAGGGAUCAUUACCGAGUUUACAACUCCCAAACCCAAUGUGAACCAUACCAAACUGUUGCCUCGGCGGGGUCACGCCCCGGGUGCGUCGCAGCCCCGGAACCAGGCGCCCGCCGGAGGGACCAACCAAACUCUUUCUGUAGUCCCCUCGCGGACGUUAUUUCUUACAGCUCUGAGCAAAAAUUCAAAAUGAAUCAAAACUUUCAACAACGGAUCUCUUGGUUCUGGCAUCGAUGAAGAACGCAGCGAAAUGCGAUAAGUAAUGUGAAUUGCAGAAUUCAGUGAAUCAUCGAAUCUUUGAACGCACAUUGCGCCCGCCAGUAUUCUGGCGGGCAUGCCUGUCCGAGCGUCAUUUCAACCCUCGAACCCCUCCGGGGGGUCGGCGUUGGGGAUCGGGAACCCCUAAGACGGGAUCCCGGCCCCGAAAUACAGUGGCGGUCUCGCCGCAGCCUCUCCUGCGCAGUAGUUUGCACAACUCGCACCGGGAGCGCGGCGCGUCCACGUCCGUAAAACACCCAACUUCUGAAAUGUUGACCUCGGAUCAGGUAGGAAU